rnacentral:rRNA from 1 species
UACGGAGGGUGCAAGCGUUAUCCGGAUUCACUGGGUUUAAAGGGUGCGUAGGCGGGCAGGUAAGUCCGUGGUGAAAUCUCUGAGCUUAACUCAGAAACUGCCAUGGAUACUAUUUGUCUUGAAUGUUGUGGAGGUAAGCGGAAUAUGUCAUGUAGCGGUGAAAUGCUUAGAUAUGACAUAGAACAACAAUUGCGAAGGCAGCUUACUACACAAAUAUUGACGCUGAGGCACGAAAGCGUAGGGAUCAAACAGG